GUGCUUGCUUCAGCAGCACAUAUACUAAAAUUGGAAUGAUGCAGAGAGGAUUAGCGUGGCCCUGAGCAAGGAUGACACACAAAUUCAUGAAGCGUUCCAUAUUUUU
rnacentral:snRNA from 2 species